UUGUUAAACUUGUUUUCUGCAUCUAGAGAUGAUCAUGUGGUUUCACUAAUUUUUUUGACAUGGUUUGUAUUAUAAUUUAUUUGACUAUUAAACCAACCUAGCAUUCCUGGAAUGAAUCCCAUAUUAUUCACUUCAUAUGUUGCUGGUUUAUUGUAUUUGUUGAAGGUUUUUGCAUCAAUAUUUCCCUUGCCUGCCUUCACCUGAUCCAGGUGAAGCAGUAGGGUGUGACUGAUGCAUCUGCUGUCUCCCUGUGCAGGCCUGAGUGGUGCUCCAUCCCUCACUAAGAGGCUCUUCCUCCACAGCCAGGAGGCAGCUGCACCACUGUAAGACGUGGCUAUUUUUUCUUGGCCCUUUUACUUCCUUAAAUUUAGUAUACAAGUUUAGGCCAGUUUCACCAGUCUUAAGGUAGGAGUACUGGGUUUUAAGUUUAAUGUUUAUAACUUUAUAGUGAUUUACCCUUUCAUUUAUCUGGGGGUCAGUAAAAGUACUAGAAGUUAGACUUACAUUCUGUCUGUUCUGUAGGUAAUGUCCUAUCAUCUCAAAUUAACUCAGGUCGUUAUAUUAGAAAUUGUACUUUUGCAAGGCACUAACAGACGAUAGUUAUAAAAAAUACAAGGAAAAUACAAAAUAAAAUUAACAAAAGUAAAAACAUAUUGAGUUUGUAUAAUAACUAUGAACAUAAUAGCUAAAGGAAAUAUGGCUGCAGAUGUAGCCCUGCAAAGCCUGCUUUACAGGGUUUUUCAAUUGCCACAUUCCUAUGGGAAAAUUAUUUUCUGUCUUCUGAACUCCCAAUGGAAGAGGCUCAACAGGCUGUAGGGAUACAAGUAGACCAUAGAGAAUGGUGGGUUUCUCCUAAUGACACCCUAUUACUCCCUGAAGCAUCCCAGUGGAAGAUUCUAAAGUUGAUCACUUCUACUAUUUGGGAAGAGAUAACACUCUUACCCUAAAACAGAAAAUAUUUUCAGAAAAGGGCUUAAGGGACACAGUCCAACAGAUCAUCCAAAGCCAUAAAAGCUGCCUUAUGUUUUUUGCCUUUCCUUGGGCUCUUACAGCCCUGUUGCUUAUUCUUCUUUUUGGUCCUUACAUUAUCUGUUUGCUUAUUCACUUUGUUUCCUUUCGUGUAAAGGCAAUAAAAUGGAGUCCCAAUGGCCAUCCCUCCAGACUUCUACCAUGGAUCCAUCAACAGACCCACUGAUAUAUACCAUCAGUGUUGGCCUCUGGAUUGGCCUGCUGCUUCUCACUUGUCCUAGAACUUCCUCAGAAGGAUAUCCCUGUUACUCUGAUGAUGCCCCUUGUCAGCCUGAAGUAAGUAGUCACUGCCCCAACUCCCAACAGUAGCUGGGGUAUCCUCUGAGAGAGGGGAUUAGGGUCAAUGUAGAAGAGCUUAGGUAGCCAGGGCAAGGUGAUGAGUGAGGAGGUCAAGGGCAGGGCCAGAACAAAGGAGCAUGGAGAGGGUCUUCUAAUGAGGUCAAUUUCCUGUUUGACAAAAGGCUCCUGGACACAAGUGGGGGACCCAAUCAGAUAGACACUUCUAUACUUGUGCUCCUAAGUGGGGGAUCCAAUACAAAAACAACAGAUGUCUGGUCAGAGGGGGGUACCAAUCAAUAAUAGUAACAAGAAAAAAUGGGAAGAAAAAUUAAAAAGAAAUAAAUUAAAAGGUACAAAGUUUCAAUUAUGCUAGGUGAGUUCUGUGGUCUACUACUAUAUAGCAUAGUGCCUAUGGCAAUAUUGCAUAUUUAAAAUGCACUGAAUGAGUAGAUCUUACAGCCAGGCGUGGUAGCGCAGUCCUGUAAUCCCAAUGGCUUGGGAGGCUGAGGGAGGAGGAUCAGGAGUUCAAAGCCAGACUCAGCAACUAUGAAGCACUAAGCAACUGAGAGAGACCCUGUCUCUAAAUAAAAUACAAAAUAGGGCUGGGGAUGUGGCUCAGUGGUCAAGUGCCCCUGAGUUCAAUUCCCAGUAACCCCCCUGCCCAAAAAAGUGGAUCUCACAAUGUGGUUUUUUUUUUUUCCACAAAAAUGAAAAGGAAAAAGAAGAAAAAGAAAAAAGCCAUAAAGCUUGGAGGAGGAAUUUACAGCCUUGAUGGUGGUGAUGGUAACUUAGUGUAUCUUACCCCAAAUUCACUGAGUUGUAAACAUUAUGUACAAAAACAAAU
rnacentral:lncRNA from 1 species